rnacentral:rRNA from 1 species
GGCGAACGCUGGCGGCGUGCCUAAUACAUGCAAGUAGAACGCUGAAACUUGGUGCUUGCACCGAGCGGAUGAGUUGCGAACGGGUGAGUAACGCGUAGGUAACCUGCCUGGUAGCGGGGGAUAACUAUUGGAAACGAUAGCUAAUACCGCAUAAGAGUAGAUGUUGCAUGACAUUUGCUUAAAAGGUGCAAUUGCACCACUACCAGAUGGACCUGCGUUGUAUUAGCUAGUUGGUGGGGUAACGGCUCACCAAGGCGACGAUACAUAGCCGACCUGAGAGGGUGAUCGGCCACACUGGGACUGAGACACGGCCCAGACUCCUACGGGAGGCAGCAGUAGGGAAUCUUCGGCAAUAGACGGAAGUCUGACCGAGCAACGCCGCGUGAGUGAAGAAGGUUUUCGGAUCGUAAAGCUCUGUUGUAAGAGAAGAACGAGUGUGAGAGUGGAAAGUUCACACUGUGACGGUAUCUUACCAGAAAGGGACGGCUAACUACGUG